rnacentral:rRNA from 1 species
UACGAAGGGGGCUAGCGUUGCUCGGAAUCACUGGGCGUAAAGCGCACGUAGGCGGCUUUUUAAGUCAGAGGUGAAAUCCUGGAGCUCAACUCCAGAACUGCCUUUGAUACUGGAGAGCUUGAGUCCGGGAGAGGUGAGUGGAACUGCGAGUGUAGAGGUGAAAUUCGUAGAUAUUAGGAAGAACACCAGUGGCGAAGGCGACUCACUGGUCCGGUACUGACGCUGAGGUGCGAAAGCGUGGGGAGCAAACAGG